rnacentral:rRNA from 1 species
CCGUAACUAUAACGGUCCUAAGGUAGCGAAAUUCCUUGUCGGGUAAGUUCCGACCCGCACGAAUGGUGUAACGAUCUGGACGCUGUCUCAACUGCCCACCCGGCGAAAUUGUAGUACCGGUGAAGAUGCCGGUUACCCGCGGCAAGACGGAAAGACCCCAUGGAGCUUUACUGUAACUUGAUAUUGGGUCUUGGUAUUCUAUGUACAGGAUAGGCGGGAGACUAUGAAACAUACACGCCAGUGUAUGCGGAGUCACCCUUGGGAUACCGCUCUUAGAGUACUGAGAUUCUAACCUGCGGCCGUGAAUCCGGUCGGGGGACAUUGUCAGGUGGGCAGUUUGACUGGGGCGGUCGCCUCCAAAAGAGUAACGGAGGCGCUCAAAGGUUCGUUCAGCACGGAUGGAAAUCGUGCACUGAGUGUAAACGCAUAAACGAGCCUAACUGCGAGAAUGACGGUCCGAGCAGUAACGAAAGUUGGAGUUAGUGAUCCGGCGGUAUGUGAAUGGAAAUGCCGUCGCUCAACGGAUAAAAGCUACCCUGGGGAUAACAGGCUGAUCUCCCCCAAGAGUCCAUAUCGACGGGGAGGUUUGGCACCUCGAUGUCGGCUCAUCACAUCCUGGGGCUGAAGUCGGUCCCAAGGGUUGGGCUGUUCGCCCAUUAAAGUGGUACGUGAGCUGGGUUCAGAACGUCGUGAGACAGUUCGGUCCCUAUCCAUCGCGGGCGCAAGAGAUUUGAAGGGGGCUGCUCCUAGUACGAGAGGACCGGAGUGGACGAACCAAUGGUGUACCAAUUAUCUCGCCAGAGGUAUAGUUGGGUAGCUACGUUCGGAAAGGAUAAACGCUGAAAGCAUCUAAGCGUGAAACCAGCCUUAAGAUGAGAUCUCUCAUAGAGUAAUCUAGUAAGACACCUUGGAGAAGACGAGGUUGAUAGGUCGGGAGUGUAAGUACAGCAAUGUAUUCAGCGGACCGAUACUAAUAUGUCGAGGGCUUGACUUG